rnacentral:rRNA from 1 species
GUGAGGAAUAUUGCACAAUGGAGGAAACUCUGAUGCAGCAACGCCGCGUGGAGGAUGACGCAUUUCGGUGUGUAAACUCCUUUUAAGAGGGAAGAUUAUGACGGUACCUCUUGAAUAAGCACCGGCUAACUCCGUGCCAGCAGCCGCGGUAAUACGGAGGGUGCAAGCGUUACUCGGAAUCACUGGGCGUAAAGGGUGCGUAGGCUGACUUUUAAGUCAGGUGUGAAAUCCAAUGGCUCAACCAUUGAACUGCACUUGAAACUGGGAGUCUAGAGUUCAGAAGGGGCAGAUGGAAUUAGUGGUGUAGGGGUAAAAUCCGUAGAUAUCACUAGGAAUAUCAAAAGCGAAGGCGAUCUGCUGGGAUGAUACUGACGCUGAGGCACGAAAGCGUGGGGAGCAAACAGGAUUAGAAACCCCGGUAGUCC